UGGGAGAUUAGUCUACGAAUUUAGAUACCUAGAAGAUCUUUGACGAGCAACAACGAAAAUCCGCUGAACUAGUGGAUCCAAUUUAAGAACCUGCAAUGUAAGUACGUGGUAUCGUCAGAAUAAAAACCUCUAGAAAAAACAUCAGAGGGGUAAGAAUUCAAGCUUAUACGAGACUAAAGGCAGAAAGAAGAAGCAUAACGAGUAAAGCAGGAGAAAAUCUCAUAGGCAUGUGAACGCCAGGCUCAACUUCCAACUAUUUUUUUGACAGCAAGCUCAUUUGUCAACUAUUUUGUUUUACAGCAAGCUCAUUUGCCAGCUAGAUAACAAGUUCAGGUGCAAUAGCUUCGCAAGGCGUCAAUAGCCUGAAUUUGUUUUUUCCCAGCAGAAGCAGCAACAACAAUGGAUCCAUUUGCACCUUGGUUAUAUCACCCCAGCCUCCUGAUUUCCUAACGGCAUGAAAUGAAACUCCACUGCUCCCUUCUCCCACCGAAACUGCACCGAAUCCUGACGAGAAAACAACUGCAUAUAUCAUCUUUCAAAAUUGUAGAUGUCUGGCACUUCUAUUCUAGCCAAAACUGCAUCGAAUCCUGGUGAUUUUGGGCGAAAAACAGUACUGCAUUCAGAUUUUACAAGCCCCUCUCAAUGUAGAAACAGUCAAGAAUGAACUGAUAACAUCAGAAGUGUAAAAAUUAAUAAACUGCAAUGAAAGUAUAUGGUAUGGUCAGAAUUGAAAUCUCUAGAAAACAUCUGAGGGAUAGACUUCUCUCUUUUGCUUGCACAAAGAAGAUGAUACUAAUCUGAUAAAGCUUAGUACUCUUCCUCAUCUGGGAAUUGCUUGCGCGAAGGUAAAUCAAAUCCGAAAAUGAAAAGUGUAAAUAAAAUCAACUUCAUUUUAAUUUUUGCAAGAACUAAAGGAAACUUGCUUAUAAACCCAUCUCUCACAGGCAUUUUGCCGAACAGGUAGCAUACAUGAACAGGUGUUUCUCACCUUAACAGUAGAUGAGGGCGGGCAGGCGUGCAUCUCGUCGAACACGCGGUGGAGGGAAGAUGAGGACCUGCGGCUGUGCAAAUUGUUACAAAGUUAGUGUGAGAUCGAGAUAGGCAAUCAGAGGGGGGGUGAAUGAUUGCGCGGAAGCAAAUUAAAACUUUUCCCGAAAGUUCAAACCCUAAAUCACCUUUCUGUCCGUGAUAGUAAAACAGCCGUAACUUUUGAUUGGAUGAACCAAAAAAUACGUAUGAGUAUGGAAAAGAAAGGUAUUAAAAUUAUGUAACCAACGCAACAAGAAUCGGCUCAAUCGGACUUACCAAUCAAAAGAUAUGAUCAAAAUAGUAACAGCUGACAGAAAGUUACGAGGAUUAAUCUAAAACCAAUUUCGAGGAAUAACAAGAAAGAUGAAUUAAUUGCAAUCUUCUCUUGAUCUCGUGAUAAACCUGCAGCAAAGUAUUAUAAACUUGUGAUGAACCUGCACCAAAGUAUUAGAAAGAUCUAGCACGAACAUUUCACGAAGAUCCGAGAAGAACAGAGAUGACACCGCCAACGAAUCUCUUUAUUGCAACGAUGUCGAUCGAUUACAAAAGAUGCAACCAUGCAUCCAAGAACUCUCCAAGAAUUGAUCUAGAUCCAAAGCUUUGAGUUCCCUCACGUCCUUGCUAAAACCCUAGCUAGGAUGCCCUCUAUUUAUAAGUGAAAAUUCGCAACCCUAAACCGAAUCCGAAUCCAACACGGACUCCUCUGUCCCGGUCAGUAUUUUGCCCGUGGGGCCCGCAUACGACCUCGGAUUGAGAUGACUCCAAAAUCAAAGUUGUUCGUCUCGACGACGCGCACAGCUUUCAUGUGGAUCACUUUUCCAUCCGACGCCAUCUUAAUGACGCUACUGUUUAAUCUUUAAACAGCUCUCAUCCAGCCACGGCUGGACCUACAUAUCUUCACCUCGAUGUCACUUCAUACCAUCAACUCUUCUUGUGAUGUCUUCAAAACUCGACCAUCACGUAUCGAAUAUCUCCAAUACCGUACAUCUCCGGUAUAAACAAUCAACGGCAAACUGGUGCCCUCCCGGAUCAUCGUAGCGUUCACUUCCAUUGUUCCUUCGCACGAACGUCCCGCAUGACCUUGAUCCUCGACCUCAGCUUCCCAAGCUUCGUCUCUCGAUCCCGUCAUCGACCACGUUCUUCUAGCUCCGGCAACACCUGAAAGCGAACACACAAAUAACCAGUACGAGCACAAGUCCACGACUUGACUCAGGGUAAGUUUCACACAACUCACGCCAUGUUUUCACAUAAGAAACUAAUGGAUCAGCACACCACUAGCAAAGCACUAAGUCCAAACAAGAUACAUGUCAUCACUUAAAUAUCCAUAUUAUCCAAAGUAUCCACAUCAAUGUUUCAUCUAAAACACUUGCCAAUGUUACACAUCACAUAUGAUUUCACAAUUAGCUAGCAGUGCAGUAAAAUUCAUCUCAGAAAAUUAAUCAUGGAGCUCUUGAUCGGCGGCAGGGCACCGGCUCAGGGAGGUCGGAGGUCGUGCUGUGCGGGAGGGCCCCUCGACGGUUGAGCCGUGCGAAGCCGCCGUCGACCGGGGUGAAGUGGAGGGAGAGUCGGCUUCGCCGGAGGUGGUUGAGAGAAUCAGAACCGAAUGGAUAUCAGGGGAGGGAGAGAGAGAGAGGAAGCAUCUUCACCCGUAUGCUCUUGGCCUGAGGGAGGGAGGGAGAGAGAGGGACGGCCACUGCCGCCGGUGGAUACCAAGGGCUC
rnacentral:lncRNA from 1 species